UUCUCAAGCUCAAGAAUGUAAUGGCCUGGACCUCAGAGAUUAAGUCACCAGUAGUGAUCCCUGACACUCACUGGUACUCCUUUGUGUCUCCACCUUGCCCAGUGACAUUUAGCCAUCACAUCUCCUACAUGGACCAUGCCCGUGACUUAAGGAGAAAGUGGAUUUUUGGUAUCUGUCCUUCUUGCAGAAGCAGCUGGGUAUUUCCAGUGAUAACUUUCUUGGGGGUAUUAGGAAAACUAUAGGGGAAAUGAGGCUUUCUGAGUCUGCCUGUACAUCCGCACAAGAAAAAGAGGAGACAUCUAAUAAACCAACAAGAAGAGCCCAAGGGAGCAAUCCCCAACUCUUGCAGGAUUUGGCACAGUCUUUGGUUCUUGACAUGAGUAGUUGUCUGGAAUAUCUCAAGUCCUCAACACAGAUUAUUUACCUUCUAUCAAGAUCCUCUCUUUAUUGCUCUAGACAUACCUGACCCUUGCUUUCCCCUUGAGUUUCUGCAUGAGCUCUACUUACCAUUUUACUUUAACAGCUUCUUCUGAGUCCUCCUAGCCAAUGCUUGUAACUUUACUUAUGUACCCCACAGCCCCUUUGCACUGGUCCCUCUGCCUCUCGCUUCCUGAUUUCACUGAGGACUCUGGGUGAGCGAGAGGGAUCUUCAGGAUGACCAAAUGUCCACCCUAAGACAGCUAUAUUGGGAUGUCAGCAGGUUAUUGCUACUGUGGGAAGGAUUGACUUUAGAAUAAAUGAACAAGAGACACAUAAGACAAGAGCCAGGUUCUGAGAAGUCCUUCAUUCUAAUUCUCAGUUGUAGGCAAACUGGUUAGUAAAGUCAUUUCUUCCUUAACCUUCUUUCCUAUAGUCUGCAUGGAGACAAUGACCAGAGCACAUUUUGAGAAGGUCAGUUCAACCCUGAAGUAAACCUUUACACUGGGGCAUUUGUAUUUUUCUUGCAACAUCUUCCCUAUUACUUGGCAUAGGAGAUAAUAAAUUAUGGUUUAAAAAAUCUUUGGAUUGGGGCUUGACUCAUGAUUGACAAAGUAUAUACCUAUUGGAUGAAGGCUAUCUUGCGUAAGCACCAUUUUGCUUUCCAUCACCUUUUCUUGAAACUCUAAUCUUCAGUUUGGGGUAAGAGGUGUGUGAAAUCAUUGUAAAUUUACUUCAACUUUUCUGGAGCUUGAGGGUGUGACUCUUCUGCCACAAAUUAAAUAAAGCUUGUUUUGCCAUAA